UGGGGAAUAUUGCACAAUGGGCGAAAGCCUGAUGCAGCAACGCCGCGUGAGUGAUGAAGGCCUUCGGGUUGUAAAGCUCUGUCUUUUGGGACGAUAAUGACGGUACCAAAGGAGGAAGCCACGGCUAACUACGUGCCAGCAGCCGCGGUAAUACGUAGGUGGCAAGCGUUGUCCGGAUUUACUGGGCGUAAAGGAUGCGUAGGCGGAUUUUUAAGUGAGAUGUGAAAUACCCGGGCUUAACUUGGGUGCUGCAUUUCAAACUGGGAAUCUAGAGUGCGGGAGAGGAGAAUGGAAUUCCUAGUGUAGCGGUGAAAUGCGUAGAGAUUAAGAAGAACACCAGUGGCGAAGGCGAUUCUCUGGACCGUAACUGACGCUGAGGCAUGAAAGCGUGGGUAGCAAACAGGAUUAGAUACCCUGGUAGUCCACGCCGUAAACGAUGAGUACUAGGUGUAGGAGGUAUCGACCCCUUCUGUGCCGCAGUUAACACAAUAAGUACUCCGCCCUGGAAGUACGAUCGCAAGAUUAAAAC
rnacentral:rRNA from 1 species